AACGGCCAUACCAUGCUGAAUAUACCGGUUCUCGUUAGAUCUCCGAAGCAUCAUUGGGUGCGGUCAGUACUUGGGUGGGUGACCACCUGGGAACACCGCAUGCCGUU